AACGAACGCUGGCGGCAUGCCUAACACAUGCAAGUCGAACGAGACCUUCGGGUCUAGUGGCGCACGGGUGCGUAACGCGUGGGAACCUGCCCUUAGGUUCGGAAUAACUCCCCGAAAGGGGUGCUAAUACCGGAUAAUGUCUUCGGACCAAAGAUUUAUCGCCUUUGGAUGGGCCCGCGUUGGAUUAGAUAGUUGGUAGGGUAAAAGCCUACCAAGGCGACGAUCCAUAGCUGGUCUGAGAGGAUGAUCAGCCACACUGGGACUGAGACACGGCCCAGACUCCUACGGGAGGCAGCAGUGGGGAAUAUUGGACAAUGGGCGAAAGCCUGAUCCAGCAAUGCCGCGUGAGUGAUGAAGGCCUUAGGGUUGUAAAGCUCUUUUACCCGGGAUGAUAAUGACAGUACCGGGAGAAUAAGCUCCGGCUAACUCCGUG
rnacentral:rRNA from 1 species